AAUGGACUGGCUGGGACCUGGCAUGGGUCCAGUCCUGCCACCACUUUGCUCCUGGACAGGGUCAUCUGUGCCUCUUUUCAUCCGGGCGAAUAAGAUUGGACGAUGCAGGAAUCUCUAGGAUUUUGCUCCUAGGACUCCCCAGGAAUCUUGACCCAUCGCUAAAUAAGAUCAUGUUUAAGAACACAGUUCUGGAGGCUGAACCUCCAAGAUUAUGAUGCUGGUAGAAUCGGUGUCUGGUG